rnacentral:rRNA from 1 species
GUGGCUUCCGGAGCUAACGCGUUAAAUCGACCGCCUGGGAGUACGGCCGCAAGGUUAAAACUCAAAUGAAUUGACGGGGGCCCGCACAAGCGGUGGAGCAUGUGGUUUAAUUCGAUGCAACGCGAAGAACCUUACCUACUCUUGACAUCCAGAGAAUUUAGCAGAGAUGCUUUAGUGCCUUCGGGAACUCUGAGACAGGUGCUGCAUGGCUGUCGUCAGCUCGUGUUGUGAAAUGUUGGGUUAAGUCCCGCAACGAGCGCAACCCUUAUCCUUUGUUGCCAGCACGUUAUGGUGGGAACUCAAAGGAGACUGCCGGUGAUAAACCGGAGGAAGGUGGGGAUGACGUCAAGUCAUCAUGGCCCUUACGAGUAGGGCUACACACGUGCUACAAUGGCGUAUACAAAGAGAAGCGACCUCGCGAGAGCAAGCGGAACUCAUAAAGUACGUCGUAGUCCGGAUUGGAGUCUGCAACUCGACUCCAUGAAGUCGGAAUCGCUAGUAAUCGUAGAUCAGAAUGCUACGGUGAAUACGUUCCCGGGCCUUGUACACACCGCCCGUCACACCAUGGGAGUGGGUUGCAAAAGAAGUAGGUAGCUUAACCUUCGGGAGGGCGCUUACCACUUUGUGAUUCAUGACUGGGGUGAAGUCGUAACAAGGUAACCA